rnacentral:rRNA from 1 species
AUGGACCAAUCCAUCCCUUUUUCCCGUGCAUAUGCAUCGGACUCGGAUGACGAUGGUCCCGAUGAAGAAGUUGAUGAGGAGGGGUUCACGCCGAAGGAGGCCCAAGCAUUCAAGAAGGUAUUCGGGCGGGAUCACAAGACACCAUUGUUCAAGGAUCUUAGUCUCGCGGAUGAAGCCGUUGUGGAUGGUGGCAAAUGCAUAUCUCUUGGAGCUAGGCCAAGUUCUCACCGUGAUUUGGAAGACGGCAAGAACGGAAUAUAUCCCGGUUGUGAGUUUCAAUCCUUCUUGGAAUUGAAGAUGUGGCUCGACAACUACUCGUUUACACAUUAUCGUCCACAUAAAGUGGCUAACUCGGACGUGAAUUUGUGUUACACGGUCAAAUGUGAAGUGCCAACAUGUCCAUGGAUUGUGCGUGCAAGGCCAUGGAGAGGAGGUCCCACUUGGCAUAUAGUGAGUUGUCUACCAACUCACAUGUGCCGGCACAAGAAUGCAGAUGGCAAGCUUGUGUACCCACAACACAGACAACUCAUGUCUGAGUUCAUUGCUUUGGGUUGCCUCUAUUGUCAUAGUCGUUGGGCGUGUACCGGUGUCUGGGCUGCCUAG